ACGUUGAAACACCGGUUCCCGUACGAUCACCGAAGUUAAGCAACGUCGAUCCUGGUCACGAACUAGAUGGAUGUCCACUUGGGAAUACUUGGG